AUGCUAUUUUUGCAGGAAUGCAUUUGAAACAUACAUUGUUUGUGAAAGUGUCUGAUGAAGGAAGUCCUGUACUAUCAACAAUUAUUACAGUCAUUGUAAGGGAGUGAUAAAGCUAUUAGAUUCACUAGACAGAGUAAUUUAAUCACAGUACAAGAUAGCUUAAAAGUAACAGACUUGGACAACGAUGCCAUCCCUGACCCUCUCAGACAGCGAAGUGGUACUGCUCAGGUGACCAUCAGUGUUCUGCUCUUGUCAUUCCCAUUGAAGAGAGACCAUAAGACAUUCUAGAGAUGGCUGCAUGCAAGCAUUUAAAACCUUUGAGAGAAUACAGCUCACCAGGGAGACUACUAUUAUGAAUAUUGGGAGGAUAAUACCAAUAGUUCAGAGUAUGCUCCUUACCCAGGGUCCCCAUAAACCAAACCACCUAAAAUUAAAUAGA